CCUGCCCAAGAGAUCGGGAUAACACCUGGAAACAGAUGCUAAUACCGGAUAACAACAGAUGAUGCCUAUCAACUGUUUAAAAGAUGGUUCUGCUAUCACUCUUGGAUGGACCUGCGGUGCAUUAGCUAGUUGGUAGGGUAACGGCCUACCAAGGCGAUGAUGCAUAGCCUAGUUGAGAGACUGAUCGGCCACAUUGGGACUGAGACACGGCCCAAACUCCUACGGGAGGCAGCAGCU
rnacentral:rRNA from 1 species